rnacentral:tRNA from 1 species
AUAGAUAGGUACGAUUGGGCUGUUAACCGAUAGGUUGUAGGUUCGAGCCCUACUCGGGGCGCCA